UUGUUAGUUUUUCUUUUCAGUUAAUUAAAUGUUUAUCUAUCUUUUUAAACGAUUGUCGCAAGUGAUUAAUGUUAAUGACGUUCCAUCACAUGUUAUACUUUUAACAAGCUUCAUUUCUUGUUCUCAUCUCUUAUAACCAAAGCUUCCAUCAUGAUUUUAAUUCUGUGAAUAUUCAUUAAUCUUCUGUGGUUUUUAUUUCGUCACUUUUGGGUGACCAUACUCGUAAUAUCAUUUUAAUUUCAAUUCUUUGUUGGUGAAAGUGGAUUCGGUAAAUCAGCAAUCGUGAUUAAUUCAACAGCCUGUGUGUGUUUAUCCUUCUACCUCUCACCUAAUGGUUCCUUGAAUAGGGGAGGAGAGGUUACCAUCUUGCCUUGGUUUGUUUCCUCCUUUGUUAGCGGAGGAUCAGCCAAUAUGUCAGACCGAGGGAACACGGCUACUGCUGCUUCUGCAAAUACCACAGUGGCUUCUUCUUCAUCAUGUUCAUCUUCAAAUCUUCCAAGUACAACUGCAAUUCAACAAUCAAAGAACCAUUCAAAUUUACUUGUGAUCGAUCUUACCAAUUCAGAUGAAGAAGAUAACCACCGAGCCAGUGGUGGAGGAGGAGGAGGAGGUAGUGGUGGUGGUAGUGGUGUUGUUGGCAUGAAUGUUAAUGGUGGUUCAACAACACUACCAACUAACACUGGUACCAGUUUUAGCUCCAAUAAUAAUAUUAAUAAUAAUAGCAACGGUAAUUCAAUUCAGUCUCAAAAUCAUCAUCACCAUCCACAAGUACAACAUCAACAUGGAGCUUUAUAUCUUCCUCAACACUCUCAACAUCCUUUACAACUUUACAACCAUCAUCCACCUCAUUCGCACCAUUUUCAUCAUCAUCUUCAUCAACAUCCAGGACGCGAAGCAGUGGAAAGGAAUAAAAAGUGUACGAGAAGGGACAAGAUUAAUUCUAACUGUGUACAUUCACCUGGUGAUAGUAAUAAUAACACCACGAGCCAGAUCAAUAGUAACAUUAGUUCUAAUCACAUAAAUCAUUACCCGAGCCAUAACCAAAGUCAAAACACUGGUAACAAUGGUAAUGGUAAUAGUAGCAAUAGUAACAGCAGCAGUAGCAGUUCCAGUAGUAAUAGCAACCAUAACGACAAUAACUGCUCCCAGAAUAUACCUUGCCACAGUUCCGUUGGAUCACCUUUACCACUCCCACUCAAUAUUGAUCCACCAGCGAUGUCAUCAACAAACCCUUACUUUAACCCAUGUAGAUAUGGUUACCUUCACCCUAAUGAUCCUAUCACUUCAAAUCGUAACCUAUGCCCUGACUUAAGCAAUAAUAAUGGUGAAGCCUGUUCAUCUUAUAGUAAUUGUUUUGUUGCAAGUUCAUCUAACGGAGUUAACUCUGCACCAGUAACUGGACCGUGUCCUCAUAAUCAUGGUUAUUGUCCAAUUGGUAGUCCCCAUACAUUGCCAGCUUAUCAAGGACAACCCUCUGAUUUAAGUCGUCUUUUUGGUCCAAAUUUAGCAGCACCAAUACCCUCGCCUAGACCCCGACAGGAGCCUUCGAUUUAUUUUCCAUACUACUCAGGCCAACCACCUCCACACCACAGCCACAGCUAUGCAUAUCAAUUGCCUCAUGGAAUGCAUCCAAAUCAUCAACGGAUUCUUAUGUCUCAUCAAAGGAUCGGUGAAAAUCACCGAAGGAGUUUUUUUAGACAUCAUCAACAGCGCGCUGGCCUGCCAAGCAGACGAUACAUGGAAGCCGGAAACCAAAUCAAUUACCAGCGGUACAUGGAUUCUGGUGUUAGCUUAACCCCGGGUAGUCAUGGAGCUCAUAAUAUUCCCGGAGCUCUUGCUCCUAAUGCCAAUUCUCAUGUUAACCUCUAUGAUUGUCCAAAUAACGAGUCAUCUUUCAGUUGGAACAUAGGAGUUUCUCCUCAAUAUAUCGAUCAGAAUCAAGCCAGUGCCGCAAUGACUAGUAUCGCAUUGCACACAAUCUCGGGACCUUCUCCCUCGAUUCCUCCCAUGUCUAUACCAGUGCCAAUAAAUCCUCUUAUAGCUACAAGUAGUGAUGGAACUCUUGUCACUACUACUGGUGAUACCUGCAAUAGAUUUGAUGUUUCAUCAUUAACUAUACCAUCAACUCGCGUUCCUAAUCUUAAUCCAAAUGUAAGGCCAAAUUCUAACUCACCUCAAGUAUCAUCUGUAAACAAUCCCAACGAAAUGGUUGAUCUUAACGAUGCCAUUCAAAAUGAUGUAAUUGUCAACACAUCUCCAGACGCUGCGCAUUCACAUAUACACCAUCAUGUUCAUCAACAUCAUUAUCAUCAUUCCCAUCCAAAUAGAGUUCAUCAUUUCGGAAAUCCUCAUCUACAAAUCACAAUCUCACCUCAAAUGAUUGUUGCCCCGAGACAGGAUGUGAUCUUUUCAGAACUUACUCCAAGUUUUUCACCGCCUUUUCACCAUCCAUAUCCAUCUCCUUAUAUAACUGGUUAUAUGAGGAGUAUUCAGCAACAUCGUCACUCAGCAACCGUCAACAGAGGAGCCUCUCAAGCUGUCAUAGAGCGAAACACUUUCCCGCACAAGUACAAGAAGAUUCAACGAAGUGCCGAGGUUGAGGACACCAUUGAAAAGUGUACUAUAUGUCUAUGUGAAUUUGAAGAUACCGAAGAUGUUAGACGUUUACCAUGUAUGCACCUAUUCCAUGUUGAAUGUGUUGACCAAUGGCUAGCGACCAAUAAACGAUGUCCAAUUUGUCGUGUUGAUAUCGAAGAGCAUCUUAAAGAUUUUGGCCUGGCCUCAUCGUGACUUGAAGAGCUAACUAAACUACUGUAAAUGUUAAUAAUUAUACACAUAAAUCUAUAUAUAUAUAUCUAUACAUAUAUAUAUCUACACCUGAUCCACAAAUACCAAUCACAUCAUGGGAAAACCACUAAUCAUAAUUUCUAUCUCUUCUAAUGUGUGCUCAAAACAAUCCUCAAUUUCACCGGAAACAAUUAACCUUCUCUCUCUCUCUCUCUCUCUCAAUAUCAUUUCACUGUCACUAUUUUUCUUCCGAUACCCUUUCACCUUUUUUAUUAUUUUUAUUUUACCUCUUUAACUCUUUUAAAACAUAAACAAUCCCCAAAUUCACAUUGCUAACCACAAGCGUCCUAAUCCUUUCAAAAGUAAAUCCCUUCAUCAUCCACAUCAUCAUCCACCAUCAUAACAAAAACCUCCAAGUCCCAUUUUUACCCUUUAAACAUAAAAAAAAAAUCCAUUUCUUGUGUUGUGUUUAAAUAUAAUGAGGAUUUGAAGAAAAGGACUCAUCAACAAUUAACUAAUUACAAAGAAUUAACAAAAAAAAAUUAUUGUUUAAGCUCAAACGGAUUCCAGGAUUUCAACCCGUUCGUCUAAUUGUCGUUAAUUUGGUUUCUGGUAUCUCGUCCCUUUUUGAUAGUUAAUUAAUUUGGAAUCAAUAAACUAACAAAGGAAUCAUUUAAUUAUCAUUGACACACUAACUCACAAUUAAACUUGGAUCUGCAACAAUUUAAACAAACACACACAUAAGGAUCACACAAUUAAUAAACCCGAGGAAAAAUUGAUUUGAUUGCAACCGAGAAAAACAAAACAAAUCAAAUCAAUAGAGAUGAUCAAUUGAAGUUAACUAAUUAAUAAUCAACUCGAAUCACUUGCUUUAAAUGUUUUUAAUUGUUCUCAUAUUUUUUUUAAUGUUAGACAUGAUUACUUUUUAAUUGUAAUCCAAAUAGGUAAUCUAAUUAAUACCUUUCAUCAACAAUAUUUAAAUAGUUAAUAUAAAAAAAAAGUAAAAAAAAAUUUCAUCAAG